rnacentral:misc_RNA from 1 species
GAUGAAGAACGUAGCGAAAUGCGAUAAGUAAUGUGAAUUGCAGAAUUCAGUGAAUCAUCGAAUCUUUGAACGCACAUUGCGCCCGUCAGUAUUCUGGCGGGCAUGCCUGUUCGAGCGUCAUUACGCCCCUCAAGUCCCCUGUGGACUUGGUGUUGGGGAUCGGCGAGGCUGGUUCUCCAGCACAGCCGUCCCUUAAAUUAAUUGGCGGUCUCGCCGUGGCCCUCCUCUGCGCAGUAGUAAAACACUCGCAACAGGAGCCCGGCGCGGUCCACUGCCGUAAAACCCCCCAACUUUUUAUAGUUGACCUCGAAUCAGGUAGGACUACCCGCUGAACUUAAGCAUAUCAAUAAGCGGAGGA